AGUGAACGCUGGCGGUAGGCCUAACACAUGCAAGUCGAACGGCAGCACAGUAAGAGCUUGCUCUUACGGGUGGCGAGUGGCGGACGGGUGAGGAAUACAUCGGAAUCUACUUUUUCGUGGGGGAUAACGUAGGGAAACUUACGCUAAUACCGCAUACGACCUACGGGUGAAAGCAGGGGAUCUUCGGACCUUGCGCGAUUGAAUGAGCCGAUGUCGGAUUAGCUAGUUGGCGGGGUAAAGGCCCACCAAGGCGACGAUCCGUAGCUGGUCUGAGAGGAUGGUCCGCCACACUGGAACUGAGACACGGUCCCGACUCCUACGGGAGGCAGCAGUGGGGAAUAUUGGACAAUGGGCGCAAGCCUGAUCCAGCCAUACCGCGUGGGUGAAGAAGGCCUUCGGGUUGUAAAGCCCUUUUGUUGGGAAAGAAAAGCAGCAGGUUAAUACCCCGCUGUUCUGACGGUACCCAAAGAAUAAGCACCGGCUAACUUCGUG
rnacentral:rRNA from 1 species